UUUCAUUUUCCCUUAGAUUCCUUUGAAGAAUACAAAUGUAAAGGCGACAUACGGAUUGAUGAGCAUACAGAGUUCUUUAUAUCGUAUAACGGAGGCGUUAUAGAUUCUUUAUGUUACUUCAUGAAUUUUCUGGGACGAGAUUCGAAAAAUCUCAAAGCUUACCAGAUUUGUAUGGAGACCAUCAGGUAUCAUGACCCUGACUGCGCCAUUCUAGUAGGAUUGACUAGUUCCUCAAAGUUUGCUAGGGAUUUCAAUUGUACGCACAACCCACCCACACCUAUCUGUUACGACAACUCUUUGAAAAUCCACAUCGAACCUAUAUCGGUGGAAAAGUCUUCAAGGAAUUCGUCUUUUCUUUUCAAGGUUAUGGCACAUUUGACUGCAGAUAAAAUGGAAUUAAUCUGGACAAUUUUAGCAGCAAGUGGGUCAGGUUUGGUGCUUAUAAUAAUACUUAUUGUAAGUGUUAGACAGAUAAAAAGCAGAUAUCAAAAUACCAAGA